rnacentral:rRNA from 1 species
CACGUAGGGCGCGAGCGUUGUCCGGAAUUAUUGGGCGUAAAGAGCUCGUAGGCGGCCUGUUGCGUCCGCUGUGAAAGCCCGGGGCUUAACCCCGGGUCGGCAGUGGAUACGGGCAGGCUAGAGGUAGGUAGGGGAGACUGGAAUUCCUGGUGUAGCGGUGAAAUGCGCAGAUAUCAGGAGGAACACCGGUGGCGAAGGCGGGUCUCUGGGCCGGUACCGACGCUGAGGAGCGAAAGCGUGGGGAGCGAACAGG